rnacentral:tRNA from 1 species
GGCAACGUGGCCGAGUGGUUAUGGCGCAAGUUUCAGGACAUCUGAACUUAGCUUUGGUUAAAAAUCCGUCUACUUGUGGGUAAAACCGCGUGGGUUCGAGUCCCACCGUUGUCA